CACGUAGUUAGCCGAUCCUUAUUCAUGGAGUACCGUCCUUCCUCUUCCUCCAUAAAAGCGCUUUACAACCCGAAGGCCUUCAUCGCGCACGCGGCGUUGCUGCAUCAGGCUUUCGCCCAUUGUGCAAUAUUCCCUA
rnacentral:rRNA from 1 species